GUCCCUGUAGCGCAAUGAAGAGCGUGAUGGACUUUUAAUCCAAAGGUCGUGGGUUCGAAUCCCACCUGGGAUA